ACGAACGCUGGCGGCAUGCCUAACACAUGCAAGUCGAACGAAGCCUUCGGGCUUAGUGGCGCACGGGUGCGUAACACGUGGGAAUCUGCCCUUCGGUUCGGAAUAACAGUUAGAAAUGACUGCUAAUACCGGAUGAUGUCUUCGGACCAAAGAUUUAUCGCCGAGGGAUGAGCCCGCGUAGGAUUAGCUUGUUGGUGGGGUAAUGGCCUACCAAGGCGACGAUCCUUAGCUGGUCUGAGAGGAUGAUCAGCCACACUGGGACUGAGACACGGCCCAGACUCCUACGGGAGGCAGCAGUGGGGAAUAUUGGACAAUGGGCGCAAGCCUGAUCCAGCAAUGCCGCGUGAGUGAUGAAGGCCUUAGGGUUGUAAAGCUCUUUUACCAGGGAUGAUAAUGACAGUACCUGGAGAAUAAGCUCCGGCUAACUCCGU
rnacentral:rRNA from 1 species